rnacentral:rRNA from 1 species
UAAGCAUAUCAAUAAGCGGAGGAAAAGAAACCAACAGGGAUUGCCCCAGUAACGGCGAGUGAAGCGGCAACAGCUCAAAUUUGAAAUCUGGCCUCGGCCCGAGUUGUAAUUUGCAGAGGAUGCUUCUGGCGCGGCGCCUUCCAAGUCCCCUGGAACGGGGCGCCGGAGAGGGUGAGAGCCCCGUACUGUCGGACGCCAAGCCAGUGUGAAGCUCCUUCGACGAGUCGAGUAGUUUGGGAAUGCUGCUCAAAGCGGGAGGUAGACCCCUUCUAAAGCUAAAUACCGGCCAGAGACCGAUAGCGCACAAGUAGAGUGAUCGAAAGAUGAAAAGCACUUUGAAAAGAGGGUUAAACAGCACGUGAAAUUGUUGAAAGGGAAGCGCUCGUGACCAGACUUGCGCCGGGGCGAUCAUCUGGCGUUCUCGCCGGUGCACUCGCCCCGGCCCAGGCCAGCGUCGGUUCGCGCGGGGGGAUAAAGGCGUCGGGAACGUGGCUCCCCCGGGAGUGUUAUAGCCCGGCGCGUCAUGCCCCCGCUGCGGACCGAGGUUCGCGCUCUGCAAGGACGCUGGCAUAAUGGUCAUCAGCGACCCGUCUUGAAACACGGACCAAGGAGUCGAGGUUCUGCGCGAGUGUCUGGGUGUCAAACCCGCACGCGUAAUGAAAGUGAACGCAGGUGGGAGCUUCGGCGCACCACCGACCGAUCCUGAUGUUCUCGGAUGGAUUUGAGUAGGAGCGUGGGGCCUCGGACCCGAAAGAUGGUGAACUAUGCUUGGAUAGGGUGAAGUCAGAGGAAACUCUGAUGGAGGCUCGCAGCGGUUCUGACGUGCAAAUCGAUCGUCAAAUCUGAGCAUGGGGGCGAAAGACUAAUCGAACCAUCUAGUAGCUGGUUACCG